UCCACACACACGGAGCUUCAGGACGCGCUAACAUGACACAUGUAGGCCUAAUGUAAUACGACCUCGAAAGCAUAACAUGUACAAAGAAACGACACCAUCAAACCAACCAGGCGUGAUAGGAAGUUGCCACCUACAUGGACUCAGGAGUCAGGAGCCGAAGCCGUCCAGCGACAUAUAAAAAACUAGACAUUCUAAACCUAAACAAGGACAGGUCACACAAAUGUUGGGAGAGGGCGAUGGCGACGACAGAGGGACGGAGAAGGGACCACACAAGGAAAAACACCGACUAGUGGGAACACGAUUCAACUCCAUGGUCAAUGGGAGGACGUGGCUUUAGCCUUACUAUCUCUUGGAUCAAUUCAAGGGAAACGACUGCUAUCAGUCUCGCAUUGAACUCCCAAGGACAGAGUACCACAAAACGAGUAAAAUGACCUCAGAGAUGGAGAGUGGACAACCGCAAGAACAGAACUAUCCUUGUGUUGGAAUUGGCGAGCAAAUAACUUCACAAGGCAAAAGGCACAUUUCAAAAAUUGUUGCCAUGGACCUUUGAAAAUAAUGUUGAAAUGGCUAUAGCUUAAUAAAUUGUGAA